UGGUUCUGGCAUNGAUGAAGAACGCAGCGAAAUGCGAUAAGUAAUGUGAAUUGCAGAAUUCAGUGAAUCAUCGAAUCUUUGAACGCACAUUGCGCUCGCCAGUAUUCUGGCGAGCAUGCCUGUUCGAGCGUCAUUUCAACCAUCAAGCUCUGCUUGCGUUGGGGAUCCGCGGCUGCCCGCGGUCCCUCAAAAACAGUGGCGGGCUCGCUAGUCACACCGAGCGUAGUAAUUCUACAUCGCUAUGGUCGUGCGGCGGGUGCUUGCCGUAAAACCCCCCCAUUUCUAAGGUUGACCUCGGAUCAGGUAGGAAUACCCGCUGA
rnacentral:misc_RNA from 1 species